rnacentral:rRNA from 1 species
GUGGGGAAUAUUGGACAAUGGGCGAAAGCCUGAUCCAGCCAUGCCGCGUGUGUGAAGAAGGUCUUCGGAUUGUAAAGCACUUUAAGUUGAGAGGAAGGGCAGUAAGUUAAUACCUUGCUGUUUUGACGUUACCAACAGAAUAAGCACCGGCUAACUUCGUGCCAGCAGCCGCGGUAAUACGAAGGGUGCAAGCGUUAAUCGGAAUUACUGGGCGUAAAGCGCGCGUAGGUGGUUUUGUAAGUUGGAGGUGAAAUCCCCGGGCUCAACCUGGGAACUGCCUCCAAAACUGCAUGACUAGAGUACGGUAGAGGGUAGUGGAAUUUCCUGUGUAGCGGUGAAAUGCGUAGAUAUAGGAAGGAACACCAGUGGCGAAGGCGACUACCUGGACUGAUACUGACACUGAGGUGCGAAAGCAUGGGGAGCAAACAGGAUUAGAAACCCUUGUAGUCC